rnacentral:rRNA from 1 species
CAGGCGGGAGGCGGUGGGCGUCGCGCGCCCCUAGCGGGCCGUGCCGCUCCCGUCCCCGCCGGCGGCGCCAAACUCUAAAUUUACAGCGGACUGUACGUUCUGAUUUACAAAAAAAAACAAGUUAAAACUUUCAACAACGGAUCUCUUGGUUCUGGCAUCGAUGAAGAACGCAGCGAAAUGCGAUAAGUAAUGUGAAUUGCAGAAUUCAGUGAACCAUCGAAUCUUUGAACGCACAUUGCGCCCGGCAGUAAUCUGCCGGGCAUGCCUGUCCGAGCGUCAUUUCUGCCCUCGAGCGAGUUCCAGCAUCUAGGUGCUGGUGCUCGCCCGGCGUUGGGGCACUACGGUAGAGCCCUGUGCUGUCCGUAGGCCCUGAAAUGAAGUGGCGGUCCUGCCGCGGCGCCCCCUGCGUAGUAUAACAGCUCGCUUCGGGACCCGGUGGAG